rnacentral:rRNA from 1 species
UAACGCGUGGGUAACCUGCCUCAUACAGGGGGAUAACAGUUAGAAAUGACUGCUAAUACCGCAUAAGCGCACAGUGCUGCAUGGCACAGUGUGAAAAACUCCGGUGGUAUGAGAUGGACCCGCGUCUGAUUAGCUAGUUGGUGGGGUAACGGCCUACCAAGGCGACGAUCAGUAGCUGGCCUGAGAGGGUGAACGGCCACAUUGGGACUGAGACACGGCCCAA